rnacentral:rRNA from 1 species
UCAAUAAGCGGAGGAAAAGAAACCAACAGGGAUUGCCCUAGUAACGGCGAGUGAAGCGGCAACAGCUCAAAUUUGAAAUCUGGCGUAAGCCCGAGUUGUAAUUUGUAGAGGAUGCUUCUGGGUAGCGGCCGGUCUAAGUUCCUUGGAACAGGACGUCAUAGAGGGUGAGAAUCCCGUAUGUGACUGGCUUGCACCCUCCACGUAGCUCCUUCGACGAGUCGAGUUGUUUGGGAAUGCAGCUCUAAAUGGGAGGUAAAUUUCUUCUAAAGCUAAAUACCGGCCAGAGACCGAUAGCGCACAAGUAGAGUGAUCGAAAGAUGAAAAGCACUUUGGAAAGAGAGUUAAAAAGCACGUGAAAUUGUUGAAAGGGAAGCGCCCGCAACCAGACUUUGCGGCGGUGUUCGGCUGGUCUUCUGACCGGUUUACUCGCCGCCGUGAGGCCAUCAUCGUCUGGGACCGCUGGAUAAGACCUGAGGAAUGUAGCUCCCUUCGGGGUGUGUUAUAGCCUCUGGUGAUGCAGCGCGUCUCGGGCGAGGUCCGCGCUUCGGCAAGGAUGAUGGCGUAAUGGUUGUCGGCGGCCCGUCUUGAAACACGGACCAAGGAGUCUAACAUCUAUGCGAGUGUUCGGGUGUCAAACCCCUACGCGUAAUGAAAGUGAACGGAGGUGGGAACUUUUUGUGCACCAUCGACCGAUCCUGAUGUCCUCGGAUGGAUUUGAGUAAGAGCAUAGCUGUUGGGACCCGAAAGAUGGUGAACUAUGCCUGAANNGGGUGAAGCCAGAGGAAACUCUGGGUGGAGGCUCGCAGCG